rnacentral:rRNA from 1 species
CCUACGGGAGGCAGCAGUGAGGAAUAUUGGUCAAUGGACGAGAGUCUGAACCAGCCAAGUAGCGUGAAGGAUGACUGCCCUAUGGGUUGUAAACUUCUUUUAUAAAGGAAUAAAACGAGGCACGUGUGCCUUUAUGCAUGUACUUUAUGAAUAAGGAUCGGCUAACUCCGUGCCAGCAGCCGCGGUAAUACGGAGGAUCCGAGCGUUAUCCGGAUUUAUUGGGUGUAAAGGGAGCGUAGAUGGGUUGGUAAGUCAGUUGUGAAAGUUUGCGGCUCAACCGUAAAAUUGCAAUUGAUACUGGCAGUCUUGAGUACAGGUGAGGUAGGCGGAAUUCGUGGUGUAGCAGUGAAAUGCUUAGAUAUCACGAAGAACCCCGAUUGCGAAGGCAGCUUACUAAACUGUGACUGACAUUGAUGCUCGAAAGUGUGGGUAUCAAACAGGAUUAGAUACCCUAGUAGUC